UACGGGGGGGGCAAGCGUUGCUCGGAAUGACUGGGCGUAAAGGGCGCGUAGGCGGCUUGCUUCGUCAGAUGUGAAAUUCCUGGGCUUAACCUGGGGGCUGCAUUUGAUACGUGUGGGCUUGAGUGCGGAAGAGGGUCGUGGAAUUCCCAGUGUAGAGGUGAAAUUCGUAGAUAUUGGGAAGAACACCGGUGGCGAAGGCGGCGACCUGGUCCGUGACUGACGCUGAGGCGCGAAAGCGUGGGGAGCAAACAGG
rnacentral:rRNA from 1 species